CUGAGAGAGAAACACGAUGGUCGAGUUCAGGUGGAUUACAUUUUCUUUAUUUCUGAUGCUGGUGGGCAGUUUGACAGCAGUAACAGGGAAGUACCCCUCUGUCGCUGUCAGAGUUGGAGAUGAACUAAGUUUGUCUUGUGAAAAUGUGAAACACGAUCAGGAGAGGUGCAACAGUACUACCUGGAUCUUCUUUGGUUCAACAAAGGCAGUACGUCUGUUUGAUCGUGGGCAGAUUCACAAAGAAGCCCAAACUAAAUCAGACAGACUGAGUGUUAGAGAGAACUGUUCUCUGGUCAUCAUAGACAUCACCAUCGAAGACGGUGGUGACUACUUCUGCAUGCAGAUGGAAUCAGGAGAACAACAAGGUCCAGUCACUGAUGUUUAUCUGUCUGUUGUCACCAUGACGGAACAUCAGGAGGCUGAUGAUUGGACUUUAAACUGCUCUGCGUCGUAUCAUGGAUGGUGUAGACACACAGUGAAGUUGCUGUAUGAAGGUAAAGAGGUGGCUGAAGAUGAAGACAUGACGACAUCACAGACUAACUGCUCAGCUGCUGUGACAUUUUAUGAUCCCAAGAAGUCAAAGCAUAAUGAGUCCUUUGAGUGUGAAGUGACUGAAAUUUUCACUGGAAAAGUUCAGCAGUUUACCUUCAGCCGUCAGUCCUCAGGAGAGAAAACAGGUGAUGAUGCACAAACCACAAUGUCUACAACAACCACAGUGUCAAUAACAGUUAGGUGGCGGUUCAUCAUUGUGUCCGUGGGUUUGUCAGCACUCUUAAUAAGUGUUGUUACAGUCAAUAUGUGGACGAGAACUAAAGAGAACAAAACACAGAGGGAAGAAAACAGGGAGCAUGAUGAUGAAGAUGAAGAUGAAGGUACAGUGGUCUAUAAAAACACCGGAGAGCCGUCUGCCUCCGUCAGAAUCCACUGAUCAUCAACAUCAACUCACCAGAGAAACAAGUCCACUGCUGUUAAACAUCACCUCAUCAUAUUUCACAUGAGGAGAUAACAAUAGAAUCAUGACAUCUUUUUAAGAGUUAGACUGAAUCUAUUUGCUUUUAUUCAUUAAUAUGACAAAUGUCUUUUCUGUGCCGAGCUCUUUGUGUUUCAGUCUGAGCUGGACUAACAGGCUGGAGUCAAACUGGUGGACGAGGAGUUUGACUCUUCAGCUGUCUGUGUAUGUGUGCUGUAAACAUCAUGAAUCCUGACUGUUUUACAAUAAAGCAUAUAAAGAUAAUAAGUUG
rnacentral:lncRNA from 1 species